rnacentral:tRNA from 1 species
GGCCGGUUGGCCCAAUGGCAAGGCGUCUGACUACGAUACAAGAUCAUUUCAUGUCUAAUAGACUUAACUGGUUGAUACAUCAUCAGUUAUCAGGAGAUUCUGGGUUCGACCCCCAGGCUGGUCA